rnacentral:miRNA from 1 species
GGCUUGCGAGGGUAGGAAAAG